rnacentral:lncRNA from 1 species
AAUGCUCCCGCUGCAUGUCCAGUGGGCUCCGCGAGUCGCCGCCGUCAAGCGCACGGCUCCGGCGAGAACUCCCCCUGUUUUCUCUAUGACUCCGACGAGCAGCAGAAGCUCUGCCGCCGUUCACGCUGCGCCUCCUUUUCUGCCUCCCCUAUGCCGUCUCCGGUGGCUUCUAGAUUCGAUUCCCAAAUGUUGAUGAAUGGAUGUGCUGCUCUCAACCAUUUAUCGCAUAA